UACAGAGGGUGCAAGCGUUGUUCGGAAUUAUUGGGCGUAAAGGGCGCGUAGGCGGCUCGGUAAGGUUGCGGUGAAAGCCCGGGGCUCAACCCCGGGUCGGCCGUGGCAACUGCUGAGCUAGAGCACUGUAGAGGCAGGUGGAAUUCCGGGUGUAGCGGUGGAAUGCGUAGAGAUCCGGAAGAACACCGGUGGCGAAGGCGGCCUGCUGGGCAGUGGCUGACGCUGAUGCGCGACAGCGUGGGGAGCAAACAGG
rnacentral:rRNA from 1 species